UUUAUUUCGGGGCAGUUCUUGCCCGGGAGGAUACUUAAUGCUCGGGUCCGCGCAGCAGAGUCAGUCCUCCCAGAGCCCGCCGGGAUCCCCAUGCGUCUGGCAGGCACGGGGGCCGGCCACAUUC
rnacentral:snoRNA from 1 species